rnacentral:tRNA from 1 species
UUAAUUGAAGCUAAAAAGAAGCUUUUCACUGUUAAUGAAAAAAAUGAAUAAAUUCCAAUUAAA